rnacentral:lncRNA from 1 species
CAUCAUUAAAAGAUAAACCAGAAAAAGAAAAAGAAAUUAUUUCUAGUCAAUCACAAAUGUAUAAUAUACAAUAUAUAAUAUUUAAUAAAUAUGAAAAAAAUAAAACUCAGACAAAUUACAAAUUCUGAAUUAGAAUUAGAAAUAAAAAAAAUUAAAUUAAAACUUUCUCAGCUUAAAAUGGAACAACAAGAAAUGAAAAAACAA